rnacentral:rRNA from 1 species
UUAAGCUAAUAAGAGCGCAGGGUGGAUGCCUUGGCACUAAGAGCCGAUGAAAGACGUGAUAAGCUGCGAAAAGCUUCGGGGAGGAGCAAAUAUCCAUUGAUCCGGAGAUAUCUGAAUGGGGAAACCCGGCUGAGAAGCCCUCAGCCACUGUAUGGUGAAUCCAUAGCCAUACAGAGGGAACCCGGUGAACUGAAACAUCUAAGUAGCCGGAGGAAGAGAAAGAAACAUCGAUUCCGGAAGUAGCGGCGAGCGAACCCGGAAGAGCCCAAACCAGCGUGCGUGCAUGCUGGGGUUAAGGACUGCAUAAGUGAGCCGAUCUGUUAAUGGAACUGCCUGGGAAGGCAGGCCAGAGAGGGUGAAAGCCCCGUACAUGAAAACGGUAGGCAGCGGCAGGAUCCAGAGUACCGCGAGACACGAGAAACCUUGCGGGAAGUCGGAGGGACCACCCUCCAAGGCUAAAUACUCCUUAGUGACCGAUAGCGCAUAGUACUGUGAAGGAAAGGUGAAAAGGACCCCGGGAGGGGAGUGAAAGAGAACCUGAAACCCUGUGUUUACAAGCUGUGGGAGCACGUUAAGGUGCAACCGCGUACUUUUUGUAGAACGGUCCGGCGAGUUGCCGGUGCUGGCAAGGUUAAAUGGUACAGCCAUGGAGCCGAAGGGAAACCAAGUCUCAAAUGGGCGUAAAGUCAGCACAGGCAGACCCGAAACCGGGUGACCUAUCCAUGUCCAGGAUGAAGCGGAAGUAAAAUUCCGUGGAGGUCCGGAUCCACAUCCGUUGAAAAGGGUGGGAAUGAGGUGUGGAUAGGGGAGAAAUUCCAAUCGAACCCGGAGAUAGCUGGUUCUCCUCGAAAUAGCUUUAGGGCUAGCCCCGUAUUAGUUUAGCGGAGGUAGAGCACUGAAUUCCUAAGGGGGCGUCAAAGCUUACCAAGGGAUAUCAAACUCCGAAUGCCGCAUAAAUGAUGUACGGGAGUCAGACUGCACGAGAUAAGUUGGGCAGUCAAAAGGGAAAGAGCCCAGACCUACAGCUAAGGUCCCAAAGUGUGUGUUAAGUGGAAAAGGAUGUGGGAUUUCAGAGACAACUAGGAUGUUGGCUUAGAAGCAGCCACACAUUCAAAGAGUGCGUAAUAGCUCACUAGUCGAGAGGUCCUGCGCCGAAAAUGUCCGGGGCUGAAACACAACACCGAAGCUUAGGAAUGUAGAAAUACAUUGGUAGAGGAGCAUUCUUAAAGGAAUGAAGCAGUACCGGUAAGGAGCUGUGGACUUUUAAGAAGAGAGAAUGCCGGAAUGAGUAGCGAGAUGGAGGUGGGAAUCCUCCAGGCCGAAUAUCCAAGGUUUCCAGAGUAAAGCUGAUCUGCUCUGGGUAAGUCGGGGCCUAAGGUAAGGCUGAGAAGCGUAGCCGAUGGACAACAGGUUGAGAUUCCUGUACCGCGUAUCAUCAGAACUGUGGGGACACAGAAGGACAGCACAUCCCGGGAAUGGAAAGACCGGGGCAAGCAGGGUAGGAGUUAAGCUGGCAAAUCCGCUUAACAAUCCGAAGCUGUGAUGCGGAGCGAAUUUAAGUAGCGAAGUGUGCGAUUCCGGCUGUCAAGAAAAGCCGCUAUUGUGUGAUACGUGCCCGUACCGUAAACCGACACAGGUAGAUGAGGAGAGAAUCCUAAGGCCGGCGGGAGAAGCAUUGUUAAGGAACUCGGCAAAAUGACCCUGUAACUUCGGGAGAAAGGGUGCCUGGGAAACCAGGCCGCAGAGAAUAGGCUCAAGCAACUGUUUAGCAAAAACACAGGUCUAUGCAAAACCGUAAGGUGAGGUAUAUGGGCUGACGCCUGCCCGGUGCUGGAAGGUUAAGAGGAGGGGUUAGCGCAAGCGAAGCUCUGAAUUGAAGCCCCAGUAAACGGCGGCCGUAACUAUAACGGUCCUAAGGUAGCGAAAUUCCUUGUCGGGUAAGUUCCGACCCGCACGAAAGGCGUAAUGAUUUGAGCGCUGUCUCGACAAUGCACCCGGUGAAA